rnacentral:rRNA from 1 species
AAUCAACGCUGGCGGCGUGCCUAACACAUGCAAGUCGAACGCGAAAGUCCCGCAAGGGAUUAGUAGAGUGGCAAACGGGUGAGUAACACGUGGGUGACCUGCCUUCGAGUGGGGGAUAACGUCCCGAAGGGACGCUAAUACCGCAUAACAUCCUGCCUUUUAAGAGGUGGAGAUCAAAGCUGGGGACCGUAAGGCCUGGCGCUGGAAGAGGGGCCCGCGUCUGAUUAGCUAGUUGGUGAGGAACGGCUCACCAAGGCAACGAUCAGUAUCCGGCCUGAGGAGGGCGGGACGGACACACUGGGACUGAGACACGGCCCAGACUCCUACGGGAGGCAGCAGGUGGGGAAUUGUUCGCAAUGGGCGCAAGCCUGACGACGCAACGCCGCGUGGAGGAUGAAGA